rnacentral:misc_RNA from 1 species
GCCUCCUUCUAGUCUUAUCCUGCCACCGCACUACCUUGUUCCUUAUCCUCUCUCUUCCCUGGAACAAAAAUCCUGUAUGUGCAUGGAAAUCUGUCGCUUCCUUCAACCUCUGUUCCUAUCCGCGCGUGGAGGUGGAAAAAAGAUCUUCUCCGGCCGCCGCUGGAUCCCUACAAAUAUCACCACCGAGCGGCUCCUUACCACGGCAUCGUUCUCCCUGCGCUCUCUCUCUCACACUGCGUCUUUGGCUCCUGCUCCAUCUCCUUUGCUGCGAAGCUCCGAGCUCUGCUCGGCCGGAUUUUUCAUGGCGCCC